rnacentral:rRNA from 1 species
AACGAACGCUGGCGGCAUGCCUAACACAUGCAAGUCGAACGAGACCUUCGGGUCUAGUGGCGCACGGGUGCGUAACGCGUGGGAACCUGCCCUUAGGUUCGGAAUAACUCCCCGAAGGGGGUGCUAAUACCGGAUAAUGUCUUCGGGCCAAAGAUUUAUCGCCUUUGGAUGGGCCCGCGUUGGAUUAGCUAGUUGGUAGGGUAAAAGCCUACCAAGGCGACGAUCCAUAGCUGGUCUGAGAGGAUGAUCAGCCACACUGGGACUGAGACACGGCCCAGACUCCUACGGGAGGCAGCAGUGGGGAAUAUUGGACAAUGGGCGAAAGCCUGAUCCAGCAAUGCCGCGUGAGUGAUGAAGGCCUUAGGGUUGUAAAGCUCUUUUACCCGGGAUGAUAAUGACAGUACCGGGAGAAUAAGCUCCGGCUAACUCCGUG